UACGUAGGGUGCAAGCGUUGUCCGGAAUUAUUGGGCGUAAAGAGCUCGUAGGCGGUGUGUCGCGUCGGCCGUGAAAACCUGGGGCUCAACUCUGGGCGUGCGGUCGAUACGGGCAUCACUGGAGUUCGGCAGGGGAGACUGGAAUUCCUGGUGUAGCAGUGAAAUGCGUAGAUAUCAGGAGGAACACCGAUGGCGAAGGCAGGUCUCUGGGCUGACACUGACGCUCAUGCACGAAAGCGUGGGGAGCAAACAGG
rnacentral:rRNA from 1 species